rnacentral:rRNA from 1 species
GAUGAACGCUGGCGGCGUGCUUAACACAUGCAAGUCGAACGGUGAAGCCAAGCUUGCUUGGUGGAUCAGUGGCGAACGGGUGAGUAACGCGUGAGCAACCUGCCCUGGACUCUGGGAUAAGCGCUGGAAACGGCGUCUAAUACUGGAUAUGAGCCUCUUCCGCAUGGUGGGGGUUGGAAAGAUUUUUUGGUCUGGGAUGGGCUCGCGGCCUAUCAGCUUGUUGGUGAGGUAAUGGCUCACCAAGGCGUCGACGGGUAGCCGGCCUGAGAGGGUGACCGGCCACACUGGGACUGAGACACGGCCCAGACUCCUACGGGAGGCAGCAGUGGGGAAUAUUGCACAAUGGGCGAAAGCCUGAUGCAGCAACGCCGCGUGAGGGAUGACGGCCUUCGGGUUGUAAACCUCUUUUAGCAGGGAAGAAGCGAAAGUGACGGUACCUGCAGAAAAAGCGCCGGCUAACUACGUG